UCCGUAGGUGAACUUGCGGAAGGAUCAUUACUGAAAUAGGAGAAGGUUGCUUAACUGCAAUCCUUUUCUUUCUACACAUGUGUUUUUCUUUUUUUUGAAAACUUUGCUUUGGUGGGCCCACGGCCUGCCAGAGAUUAAACUCAACCAAAUUUUUAUCUAAUUGUCAACUUGAUUAACUAAUAGUCAAAACUUUCAACAACGGAUCUCUUGGUUCUCGCAUCGAUGAAGAACGCAGCGAAAUGCGAUAAGUAAUAUGAAUUGCAGAUAUUCGUGAAUCAUCGAAUCUUUGAACGCACAUUGCGCCCUUUGGUAUUCCAAAGGGCAUGCCUGUUUGAGCGUCAUUUCUCCCUCAAACCUUCGGGUUUGGUGUUGAGCGAUACGCUGGGUUUGCUUGAAAGAAAGGCGGAGUAUAAACUAAUGGAUAGGUUUUUUUUUCCACUCAUUGGUACAAACUCCAAACAUUCUUCCAAAUUCGACCUCAAAUCAGGUAGGACUACCCGCUGAACUUAAGCAUAUCAAUAAGCGGACA
rnacentral:rRNA from 1 species